rnacentral:rRNA from 1 species
GACGAACGCUGGCGGCGUGCCUAAUACAUGCAAGUAGAACGCUGAAGGAGGAGCUUGCUUCUCUGGAUGAGUUGCGAACGGGUGAGUAACGCGUAGGUAACCUGCCUUGUAGCGGGGGAUAACUAUUGGAAACGAUAGCUAAUACCGCAUAAGAGUAGAUGUCGCAUGACAUUUGCUUAAAAGGUGCAAUUGCAUCACUACCAGAUGGACCUGCGUUGUAUUAGCUAGUUGGUGGGGUAACGGCUCACCAAGGCAACGAUACAUAGCCGACCUGAGAGGGUGGUCCGCCACACUGGGACUGAGACACGGCCCAGACUUCUACGGGAGGCAGCAGUAGGGAAUCUUCGGCAAUGGACGGAAGUCUGACCGAGCAACGCCGCGUGAGUGAAGAAGGUUUUCGGAUCGUAAAGCUCUGUUGUAAGAGAAGAACGAGUGUGAGAGUGGAAAGUUCACACUGUGACGGUAUCUUACCAGAAAGGGACGGCUAACUACGUG